rnacentral:rRNA from 1 species
UGGGGAAUUUUGCACAAUGGGGGAAACCCUGAUGCAGCGACGCCGCGUGAUUUAGAAGGCCUUCGGGUUGUAAAAAUCUUUUCUAUGGGAAGAAAAUGACAGUACCAUAGGAAUAAGGACCGGCUAAUUACGUGCCAGCAGCCGCGGUAAUACGUAAGGUCCGAGCGUUGUCCGGAAUCAUUGGGCGUAAAGGGUACGUAGGCGGGUAAGCAAGUUAGAAGUAAAAUCCUGUAGCUCAACUACAGUAAGCUUUUAAAACUGCUCAUCUUGAGAUAUGGAAGGGAAAGUGGAAUUCCUAGUGUAGCGGUGAAAUGCGCAGAUAUUAGGAGGAAUACCGGUGGCGAAGGCGACUUUCUGGCCAUAAUCUGACGCUGAGGUACGAAAGCGUGGGUAGCAAACAGG